rnacentral:piRNA from 1 species
UAGCCAUAUACUCCUCCAUUGCCUCCAA